AGCAGCCGCCGCGGUAAUACGGAGGGUGCAAGCGUUAAUCGGAAUUACUGGGCGUAAAGCGCACGCAGGCGGUCUGACAAGUCAGAUGUGAAAUCCCCGGGCUUAACCUGGGAACUGCAUUUGAAACUGUCAGGCUGGAGUCUUGUAGAGGGGGGUGGAAUUCCAGGUGUAGCGGUGAAAUGCGUAGAGAUCUGGAGGAAUACCGGUGGCGAAGGCGGCCCCCUGGACAAAGACUGACGCUCAGGUGCGAAAGCGUGGGGAGCAAACAGGAUUAGAUACCCCUGUAGUCCCUGUCUCUUAUAA
rnacentral:rRNA from 1 species